GAUCUGUGCCGAAACUGUUGCUGUCUGUUCACGGCUAUAAACAGCAUCUAGCAGCAGUGAGGUCAUUCCUGCCCGACAGAGCGGCACAGAGACCGCUUGAUCUGAGGCUAUCAGAUGAACUGAAGAAAGCUUUGAAUGUGGACUCCUUGAAACCAAACCCGUCCAGAACCGAUGUGCGUCUGCAGCUGCGCGCUCCGGCACCAGCCGCUGAGAGUGUGUUUGCAAGUGCGCAGCGAUGCGUUUUCUCACUUCCUGUGGCACUUCCUGUCGGGAUGGUGGCGGAUUUCGGGCCGCGGGCGUACAGGGUGAAACCACAUCGAACCACGUCUGCGAUGAGUAAAGCAGCGCUCGCUCACACACAC